rnacentral:tRNA from 1 species
GCAGAAGUGAAAUAUCGCUUCUGUUUUUUUAUUACAUAUUUAUUGUUGAGGAAGGUUGUCCGAGCUGGCCGAAG